GUCUGACCCAGCAACGCCGCGUGGAGGAUGAAGGUCGUAAGAUCGUAAACUCCUGUGAGGAGGGAUGAAAGAUAUCAUUUAAGCGAUGAUAGAUGACCGUACCUCCAGAGGAAGCCCCGGCUAACUACGUGCCAGCAGCCGCGGUAAUACGUAGGGGGCAAGCGUUGUCCGGAUUCACUGGGUGUAAAGGGCGCGUAGGCGGAUCAAUAAGUCAGAGGUGAAAGACUGCAGCUUAACUGCAGAACUGCCUUUGAUACUGUUGAUCUUGAGUGCAAGAGAGAGAAGCGGAAUUCCAGGUGUAGUAGUGAAAUACGUAGAUAUCUGGAAGAACACCGGUGGCGAAGGCGGCUUCUUGGCUUGUCACUGACGCUGAGGCGCGAAAGCGUGGGUAGCGAACAGGAUUAGAGACCCUGGUAGUCCACGCUGUAAACGAUGAAUACUAGGUGUCGGAUCGCAAGGUUCGGCGCCGCAGCUAACGCAUUAAGUAUUCCACCUGGGAAGUACGAUCGCAAGGUUGAAACUCAAGG
rnacentral:rRNA from 1 species